GCAAGUCGAGCGCGAAAGUGGACUUCGGUCCGCGAGUAGAGCGGCACAAGGGUGAGUAAUACGUAGACAAUCUGCCCUCGAGACUGGAACAACGGCGGGAAACUGCCGCUAAUGCCGGAUGGCCUUGCGACACGGCAUCGUGAUGCAAGUAAAGGUGGGGAUCUUCGGACCUGCCACUCGAGGAGGAGUUUACGACCUAUCAGCUUGUUGGGGGGGUAACGGCCCACCAAGGCUUCGACGGGUAGGCGGGCUGAGAGGCUGAUC
rnacentral:rRNA from 1 species